GGGGCUAAAGAACGAUGUAUGGGAGUAGAAGCUUUCCACUACUAUAUCCUGUAAUUGAAUGUCCUUGAUACAUGAAUGACACUUCAGGUUUCAUGCUAUUUUGUUUUCCAAGGGCUAAACCAGCCUCUCUAAAACCCUAGUAUUCAUCCCAAGAUUCAUCGGAGGAGAUUGUCAUAGGCAGAUUUCUAGGUCCUGUCCCUACACCCCAUUCUGAUCCAAUAGGCUUGGUGUGAGGCCCGGACAUAGAUAUUGUAAGUAAGGUACCUCCUCCAAGUGAUUUUAAAGCCAACCUUUCAGAGACUACACACUUGUGAAAUUCUGAAAUGGAUCUUUAUUGAUUUUGUAAGCUUUAAACUUCUGACUUGGAGCACUGUUAUUAUUGUUAUUAAUUUGCCACUUGUUUGUAGGAUUGGGAACUGAACAUUCAUUUCGGAAUGGCCUCACUAUCUGAAGAAAAUAAACAGUACAGCUGUUGUAAGAAUUCAGCAAGCCCGAAGCAGAGCACAUGGCCUGGAGCAGAUGCUCAGUAUGUGAGGAUUGAACGAGAUCCGACACAGCCUUGCAGAGGAUGUUAUCUGAGUUUCCAAGGCCUACAGCAACAGACAUUAGGACAAAAUCCAAGACUUCAGUAAUACAAAAUGGAGAAUCCAGAUUUUAAAGACAGAUGGUCUUCCUUCCCAACAAGGGAAAGAAAAUGAUUUUACUUGGAUUGGCACAGUACCAGUCAAGACGCGCCACGAGAGGGGGUCUUGCAUGUUGACCAGCUUGGUCUUGAAUUCCUAGCCUCAAGCAAUCCUCCUGCCUCAGCCUCCCAGUGUGAUAGGAUUAUAAGCGUGAGCCAAGUCACCCGGCCUUAAACCAGCCAAUCUUCUUAAUCCAGGGAACCAUCCUCUCCACAACGUUGGUCUGGAAUGAUAUGAGAAAUCUGAGAAUUGGAGAACUUGCAAAGGGCACCUCACAAGAUUGCUGGGAGGUCAAAUGGCAAAUGGAUGUGAAAGCACUUUAGAAACUACAAAGUGACAUGCAAAUGUUAGUAGCUGUUAUUUUAUUGUUAUUAUUAUGUGCAAGGCACCAUGUCAGGCCCCAAAGGAGGACUUAAAGAUGAGUAAUCCACUGCCCACAAGACACCCACAACAUAAUGAGGUAUUCAAAGGACUAUGAAAUAAGGCAGAAAAUAAGAGAUGUUCGAAGACCUAUAGGGGCUCAAAGGAGAGAAAAAUCAUGGAUCAGGAGUCAGGACAGCCCAUUCAUCCAAGGCCUUGUGGGAGUGCUGUGGGGGUUUAAUAGCAAGGUCCCUACUCUCAAGUCCUUGAUGGUCAUAUAUGGUGCUGCAUGAGACUGAAAUACAUGGUAUUUGAGCAUAGAGAGCUUUUCCAGUGAAGGCAUCUGGAAGAUCCAGUCUAGAUCUAAAAGAGUGAGUGGGACUUAGGUUAGAGGAGGAGGAAAAGAUGGUCUUUGGAGGGAGGAGGAUGCAGACAAAGGCAGGAUUGAGCUUGGAGAGACUGGGAAACUCCUCCUAGGGGAGCAGAGCAGAAGGUUCCUGUGGCUGGGCUGCUCAUGACCCAGGGCAAGGCAUCAAAAAGCAAGCAAGUGCCAUGCUGGGUUGGAUCAAUAGUCCAUUCAGUACUCUGUAUUUGGACAGUGGCCCUGGGGGAUACUUUGGGAGAGCCUCUGGUUGUGCCAUUUGGAUGAUUCUUUAGCUAUUAGGAAGGUAAAUUAUAUAAUAACCCAUUAUGGUGCGAUCGUUCAUGAAUUUUUAUUAACCCUGUCUGCAUCUGUAGGCAAAAAUCUCAAAAAAGACCCUCUUAAAGGAAUAUUCUACAAUACAAAGCUGCUUCUAUGGGCUCUCAGAAAGCCGACAGGAAAAGACAAUUAUAUAAAAAGCGACCCUAAAGAAAAAGAAAAAAAACUAUAGAAACAAAAAGCAGAUCAGCGGUUGUCUAGAGCUUGGGGGAAGGGUAGGGAAUGGGAAUUGACUGCACAGAGGCACAAAGGAGCAUUGAGAGGGAUGGAAGUGUUUGAAACUCACCUUCCAAUGGCUGAAUUUUAUGAUAUGCAUAGUAUGUCUCAUAAAGCUGUUAUUUUUUAAAACCCUACAUAAAUGCUUUCUCCAGUCCUCACCCAGAAAACAUUAUCUUUAUAAAGAAAGCCAGUACAAGGUCAGAGGUGGGAAUGGAAGGAGACUCAAAAUCAUGUCACAUGAGAAAUGUUGUAAGGACCCUGGAAAAUAGAGCCAAUAAAAGAGGAGAGAAAACCGGGGGCAGGGGCGGGGGGGGGCAGGUAUGUGGGGACCGGGCGCAGUGGCUCACAUAUGUAAUCCCAGCACUUUGGAAGGCUGAGACAGGAGGAUCCCUUGAGUCCAGGAGUUUGAAACCAGUCUGGGCAACAUAGGGAGACCCCGUCUCUAAAAAAAAGUUAAAAAAAAAAAAAAAAAGAAAGAAAGAAAACCAGGGGCAGCUAGCAGUUUGUGGGAAAGGGAUUACAGGUGCUCUGUGUAAUGCCAAGGAAGCUGAACUAGACAAAAUGGAUGAAGGUUGGCUUGCUCCUAGAGGUAGAGAGCUGCGCAACACUGGAAGUAUUCAAGCAGUGGCUCAAUGCCCCACUGUGGAGUGUUGCAGAAGGUUCUUAAGCCAUGGAUGAGGGCAUGGAGUACAAAGGACUUCAAGGUUCUUUUCCACCCUAAGAGUCUAUGAUUAUAUACACUUCUAUAAUAAGUUUUAUGUAGGUUUGCUCUUUGCAUCAAAAAAACUGAGUUAGGCCAGGCGCGGUGGCUCACGCCUGUAAUCCCAGUACUUUGGGAAGCUGAGGUGGACAGAUCACGAGGUCAGGAGAUCAAGACCAUCCUGGCCAACAUGGUGAAACCCCAUCUCUACUAAAAGUACAAAAAUUAGCUGGGCGUGGUGGCGCAUAUCUGUAAUCCCAGCUACUUGGGAGGGUGAGUUAGGAGAAUCCCUUGAACCUGGGAGGCGGAAGUUGCGGUGAGCUGAGAUCACGCCACUGCACUCCAGCCUGGGCAACAAGAGCAAAACUCCAUCUAAAAAAAAAAAAAUACUGAGUUAAAGCACCAGACUGUUGCUCCUUUCCUUCCCAAAUAACCUGUCUUAGUCUGCUCAGCCUCCUAUGACAAACUACCAUAAACUGGGUAGUUUAUAAACAACAGAAAUGUAUUCUUCACCAUCCUGGGCUGGGAAGUUCGAGAUCAAAGUGCUGGCAGACUCGGUGUCUGGUGAGGGUGCAUUUCCUGGUUUGUAGAUGGCCUUCUUGCUGUGUGCUCACGUGGCAGAAGGAGUCAAUGAGCUCCCUUGGGUCUCUUUUAUUAGGGUACUAAUGCCAUUCACAAGGGCUUCACCCUCAUGACCUCAUCACUCACAAAGGCCUCACCUCCUGAUACCGUCACCUUGCAGUUAGAGUUUCACAUGUGAAUUUGGGAGGGUCACACAACAUGCAAUCUAUAGGAGAGCCAGACUUCGAAAUUGUAUAGAAAGAUCAAGGAGCUAGGAGGGGGACAUGGAUGUCCUUGGUUGAUGCUUUCUUCCUUUCCCUAGAGGUUGAGGCUCAGUUCUUUAGUAUCUUUGGGUCUCCAAGGCUUUGUGUCCUUGGCCCGACAUUAGAAGCUCUCCGUUCUGUAGGAGCCUGAGCUCUCUUUCCAGCCUUACUUCAAUGCUCCCCACUACAGGCCAGGCACAGUGGCUCAUACUUGUAAUCCCAGUACUUUGAGAGACCGAGCCAGAAGAAUCACUUGAGCUCAGGAGUUCAAGACCAGCCUAAGCAAUAUAGUGAAAUGCUUUCUCUACAAAAAAAACUAAAAAUUAGCCAGGCAUGUAGGCAUGCACCUGUAGUCCCAGCUACUUGGGGUGGCUGAGGUGGGGGGAUCACUUGAGACCAGGAGGACGAGGACCUGGCCACUGUACUCUAGCCUGGGGGACAGAGUAAGACUCUGUCUCAAAACAAAAUAAAAAAAACCACUGCCCAAUGCAAACCAUCUGUUCCAGGCAAAGUGGUAACACAGGGCCUCUAAACGCCCUCCACAUUUUCCAUUCUGCAUCCUUCCUCAGAUCAUACCUCCUGCAGGAAAGGCCCUCCUCUAACCUCCACAGUGGUCUAAGUCCUAUGCCACCCACAAGUGCUUCCUGCCACUGUGCCACAGGUGAGACUGGUCCUGGAGGUCCACUAGGAGCUGUUCACCAGCAAAGGCCAAAUCUGGUCCGUGGGAGGCUGAGGCUGCAACAGGCCCAGAGGUAAACACAGAAUUGGAGACCAGCGGCCAGGUGUGGGGGCUCAUGCCUGUAAUCCCAGCAUUCUGGGAAGCUGAGGCGGGAGGAUUCUUGAGCCCAAGUGUUCGAGGCUGCAAUGAACUAUGAUCACACCACUGUUCUCCAGCCUGAGUGACAGAGCAAGACCCUGUCUCCACAAAAAAUUUAAAAAUUAGCCGUGCUUGGUGGCUUAUGCCUGUACUAUCAGGUACUCAGGAAGCUGAGGUAAAAGGAUUGCUCGAGCCCAGGGGUUUGAGGCUAUAGUGAGCUAUAAUUCCACCACUGCGUCCAAUUAGGUGACAAAGUGAGACUCUGUCUCAAAAAAAAAAAAAAAGAAACAAAGACCAGGAAUUCAAAAUAGGUCAAAGUUGGGCUAGGCAUGGUGGCUCAUGCCUGUAAUCCCAGCACUUUGGGAGGCCCAGGCAGGUGGAUCACCUGAGGUCAGAAGUUCAAGACCAGCCUGACCAACAUGGAGAAACCCCAACUCUACUAAAAAUACAAAAUUAGCCGGGCAUGGUGGCGCAUGCCUGUAGUCCCAGCUACUCGGGAGACUAAGGCAGGAGAAUCGCUUGAACCCAUGGGAGGGGUGUGGAGUUUGUGGUGAGCCGAGAUCACACCAUUGCACUCCAGCCUGGGCAACAAGAGCGAAACUAAGUCUCAAAAAAUAAAUAAAUAAAUAAAUAAAUAAAUAAAUAAAUAAAUAAAAUAGGUCAAAGUCAAGCAGGGGAUGUUUGCCCUUCGUAUGUGAUUAGGGGAGACAACAGACAACUGCUCAAGUUGGUCUUUUUUCUUUCGAAGUUUUAAUAUAUAUGUACAUAUAAAUGUUACAUAUAUAUGUAAUAUUAAGAAAGUUAACCCUGAAACAAUUAAAUGAUACUAUCACUAUUUAAUAGUUUACUUACAUAAUCAUC
rnacentral:lncRNA from 1 species